AGUCAGGAAUCACAUCAAUAGUGUCUCUACCUGUGGCUUCAUAUUCAUCAACUGCACCUUACCUAAUGGGACACACAUAUCAGAGUGGGUGUUUGAAGCCAAUAACACACUGUGUAUUAACCCAACUACUGCCCCCACCACUGCCCCAACUACUGCCCCUCCCACUAGUUUGGCCUAUUUGCCACUAAUAGCUGGUGUAUCCUCAGCCCUGGUCAUUGUCUUGGUUGUGGUCUUAUCAGUCAUCUGGGCUCUGAAGAAAAAGCAAAGAAACAACAAACCUAAAGAGGAAGAAAAUGACCAGGAAUUAACCUACGCUGAUGUUAGUAUCGUGCAACAGCAGAGGAAGCAAGCUGAGCAAAGGCCAAAUGUGGAGGUGGAGUACGGUCAAGUCAAGUCACGACCCCGGAAGAUUGAACCAAUAGAAGAUGAUUGUGUGUAUGCAAAGGUCCGUGAAGACAGAUGAUUUAAAGUCUUGCUUAGAAAAAAAGAAAGAUGGAAAUGUUGAAGGCACUUAAUAUUACUGCUGAUAAGAAAAUAAAAUGAAAGACAGACAGACGCCUCCACCAUAUAAAGAGACCAGACAUGUAUUUAUGCACUGCAAAAUGACAGUCAGUCAGGGAGGGAGAUGUAUGUUUUGUGGGUUUCCUUCUUCAGUUUAGUCACAGUUAGUUCCUUUUGUUGCCUCUCCACAUACAGCGUUUGCAUGCAUCCUUCAUCACCUGAGGCUGAUUUGCUCCUGUUAUCGUUCCACAUAGAUCCUGUUUGUAGCUUAGCAGCUGAGAAGUUUCUGCAUUUUUUAUGGAAACUCUGGAAUAAAGUUUUUUUUUUUUUCGGUAAUCCAUGUUCUGAUUUAUGUUAAUAAUUUCAGGUCACCUGUGGUAUUUGACUGUAAGCCAGGAAACACGCAAGGUUUUGCCUUUUGUACAGAUUAACUUAUGUUUGUUUUUGAAAGAGUA